GAUGAACGCUGGCGGCGUGCCUAACACAUGCAAGUCGAACGGAAAGGCCGAAGCUUGCUUCGGUACUCGAGUGGCGAACGGGUGAGUAACACGUGGGUGAUCUGCCCUGUACUUCGGGAUAAGCUUGGGAAACUGGGUCUAAUACCGGAUAUGACGAUCUCUUGGAUGGGGUUGUGGAAAGCUUUUGCGGUAUGGGAUGAGCUCGCGGCCUAUCAGCUUGUUGGUGGGGUAAUGGCCUACCAAGGCGUCGACGGGUAGCCGGCCUGAGAGGGUGUACGGCCAAAUUGGGCUUGGGAUCCGGCCCGGCUCCCUCCGGGGGGCAGCGGUGGGAAUAUUGCACAAUGGGCGCAAGCCUGAUGCAGCGACGCCGCGUGGGGGAUGACGGCCUUCGGGUUGUAAACUCCUUUCGCAAUCGACGAAGCCUUUUGGUGACGGUAGGUUGAGAAGAAGCACCGGCUAACUACGUG
rnacentral:rRNA from 1 species